CUUCCUCCUCUUCCCCUUCUUCCUCUGCUUCUUCUUUUUCCUCCCCCUCUUCUUCCUCCGCUUCCUCCACCUCUUCCUCUUCCUCUUCUUCCUCCUUUCCUCCUCGCCUUCCUCUUCCUCCUCUUCUUUCUCCCCUUCUUCCACUUCCUCGUCUUCCUCCUUCCCUUCUUUCUCCUUUUCCUCUUCCUCUUCCACUUCCUCCUCUUCCUCUUCUUCUUUCUCCCCUUCUUCCACUUCCUCCACCUCUUUCUCUUCCACUUCUCCCUCCUUUCCUCCUCUCCUUCCUCAUCUUCCUCUCCUUCUUUCUCCUCUUCCUCCUUCUUCCUCUUCCUCCUUCCUCCUCUUCCUCCUUCCUCCUUCCUCCUUCCUCCUCUUCUUCUCUUCUUUCUCCUUCCUCUUCUUCCUCCUUCAACCUGAGCUUCCUCUUCCUCCUUCUUCCUUCUCUUCCCCCUCCUUCAACCUCACCUUCCUCUUCCUCCUUCCUCCUCCUCUUCCUCCUCCUUCCUCUUUUUUCUCUUCCUCUUCCUCCUUCUUCCUCCUCUUCCCCCUCCCUCAACCUCAACUUCCUCUUCCUCCUCCCAUUUCCUCCUCCUCGCCCAACACNNNNNNNNNNNNNNNNNNNNCCACCGUUACCCCAUGUGGGAGGGGGGAGGUUGGCAUUAAUUAGCGCGGCCUCGUUAACGAAGGCCCUGUUUGUGGGAGGGGAGGGGCUGUAAAUAUUGCGCUGCCAAAAUGGAGAUUUUUUUUACACUGCUGUCGCUGCGUUGUUUUUGGGGUCGUUUGGGGGACAUUUGGGGGGACAUUGGGGGACAAUGGGGGAAAUUUGGGAUAUUAUGGGAUGUUAUGGGACAUUGGGGACAUUUUGGGGGGACAGUGGGGGAUAUUUGGGAUAUUAUGGGACAUUGGGGACAUUUUGGGGG
ensembl:lncRNA